rnacentral:rRNA from 1 species
ACAGAGAGAUGCGAUGCGGCGACGCAGAGCGGAACUUCAAAGCCUGUCUCAGUUCGGAUUGGAGUCUGCAACCCGACUCCAUGAAGCUGGAUUCGCUAGUAAUCGCGCAUCAGCCACGGCGCGGUGAAUACGUUCCCGGGCCUUGUACACACCGCCCGUCAAGCCAUGGGAGCCGGGGGUACCUGAAGUACGUAACCGCAAGGAGCGUCCUAGGGUAAAACUGGUGACUGGGGCUAAGUCGUAACAAGGUAUC